CUCCAUUUUUAUUAUCAGUAACAAGGACAGUCCCUUGGGGAACACCAAAAGAGAGGGAUUGUGGAGAAGAGGCAGAGCCAGAGAAAGAAACACUGAAUGAGCUCUGGGAGAGGUAGGUAGAGCACCAGGAGAGAGUGGAAUCUCGUAGAUCAAGAUUACGGAGGAUGAGAAGAAGCUGUUGAUGAUUAACAAUGUCAAAAGCAGCAGAAAGGUUGAGGAGAAUUAGGAUAGAAUAGUGGCCACGGGAUUUUGCAGUGAUAAGAUCAUUGUAUACUUUGGUCAUAGCUGUUUCAACAGUGUGACGAGCGUGGAAUCCAGAUUGAAGCGGGUCAAGCAGAGAGUUGGAUUUGAGGAAGUCUGUCAAUCUCACAUACACAACUCUCUCAAUGAUCUUACAGACAAACGACAGUAGUCAGAUAUGGCAG